GCCUGUGAAACAAUGCCAGGAUGCAGCAGGGAGGACUGAGGUUUGGGACAGAAGGGAAUGGUGAGGUUCAGUCAAGAGAGGAACACUCAAAUGGAUCAACUGCUUAAACACAGGUCCAGUUUAUGAGAUGCCAUACAAAGGCUGGCAGACAUCACAUGGGUAUAUAAAUCUUAAAUUAUGUAGGAGGAAAGAGCUUGUGAAUUCUAUACAACCUGCAGUCUGGGGGCUUUGAGAAGUCCUAGGGAAAGAGCAAUCUUCGCAUGGUGGUUUAGCUCUGACAACAGCUGGAAAUGGUUAUUUGUUUCUAAACGAUAUCCAAAGGGGGCGUCAGAGACCCUCGGACUUGAAUUUCUUCUGAAAUCAGACUGUGGAAUCAGUUUCCUUGUUUCUAGCACAAUUAAUGAGGUGGUUAGCUCCACCCCAACCCCAGUUUGUCUUGGGUUUGUGCCCAAUUAUGAGCACAACUCUGAAAGAGAUGGUAGCAGCAAACUUCUUGGAUAUUAAUAGCUCCUGCUUUUCUUUAAAUGCUGCAAGGAAAGAGAAGCUCUUCCAGCUAUCUAAGAAAGGCUGUGUAGGACUGUGAAAUGCCGUGACCUCAAAAGGUCAAAGCAGCAAAACACUGUGCUUCAAUGUCUCUGCUCUGGACAAACUUCAGCUCUUUGUUUGCUUUGUCUUGAUGGAAAAUCAACCAAAAUCAAUACUUGUGAGAUAAGGACCCCAAGAGGACCAACAUUUCUUGAUCUGCAUAGACUGAGGAGAGAAAGAAGUGAUGCUUUACAGAUGAGAAGCUAAGCUUCAGCAGGAUGAAGUCACACUGGAAAUUAGCAGUUUAUGUAAGAAUUGAAUCCUGCUUCUGAAGUCCAGUUCUGCCAUUAAAUAAGAAGCACUCCAUUGCUCUCAGAUAUGAGUACGUAAGAUUUCCUGAAUCUGUGGCAUGCAGAGAGUUGCUUUGCCACAAUUCAUAGAUACAUCUUUCUGAAGAAAUGUUGUGUUACAAGACCCACUGAUUCUGCUGAUGCUGUUAGGAACACAAAGAUAUUUGAUGAGUCUCAUAAAACUGUGAUGGUUCCCACAUACAAUUUUGCAAAGCUGUGAGAUGAUUUAAAUAAAACCAGCUCAGUUAUUAAGAGAGGGUGUAGCUGCACUGUGUUACAUGGAGUUGAAGUAACCAGAUUCAGGUGUAGAACCAGAUGAUGCAGAGAUUGGCUUGGAACUUUCUGGGAAAAUUAUUUGUGUUGCUAAAAACCAAAGCUCCUUCAAAAUACAUUUACCCCAAAAGUUUGCUACUCCAUUUUUCAAAGAAUGCUCUCAAGUCAGCUCAUUUCACUUUCUUACAGUUUAAAAAAAAAUCCACGAAACUACAG